UACGUAGGGUGCAAGCGUUGUCCGGAGUUACUGGGCGUAAAGCGCACGCAGGCGGUCGCGUAAGAGUGCGGGGACAGUGGGCGGCUUAACUGCCCAAGGGUCGCACAGACUGCGUGACUGGAGGGCCAGAGAGGGACCUGGAAUUCCGGGUGGAGCGGUGAAAUGCGUAGAGAUCCGGAGGAACACCAAUGGCGAAGGCAGGGUCCUGGCUGGCACCUGACGCUCAUGUGCGAAAGCCAGGGGAGCGAACGGG
rnacentral:rRNA from 1 species